UACGUAGGGGGCUAGCGUUGUCCGGAAUCAUUGGGCGUAAAGAGCGUGUAGGCGGCCCGGUAAGUCCGCUGUGAAAGUCGGGGGCUCAACCCUCGAAUGCCGAUGGAUACUGUCGGGCUAGAGUGCGGAAGAGGCGAGUGGAAUUCCUGGUGUAGCGGUGAAAUGCGCAGAUAUCAGGAAGAACACCAACGGCGAAGGCAGCUCGCUGGGACGGAACUGACGCUGAGGCGCGAAAGCGUGGGGAGCGAACAGG
rnacentral:rRNA from 1 species